rnacentral:lncRNA from 1 species
AGUUUGGGAUGGCAUUUUAAGGGAAAGACAAGGAGAGACAGAUAGAUAGACAGGCAGAUUAGGCAUUAGGCAGGGAUUUAGUGACAAGGCCAGGGGAAAAUGUAAAGUCAAAUCACAGGGAUCAGCACAUUUUACCCAGCAAUCGGACAGGAGUUUGUACAAAUGGACUUGUAAGAGCUGUCGACAUACCUCCUCCUUCCUGCUGUCUCUCCUUUUGUAACAUGUUGGCUGCAUAGCAAUCCGACUUUCGAUUCCCGUGCAUCAUCUGUCCGUCGGCUGGAAUCGUUUCAUAGCCAUGAUCCUUGGCUGAAUAGCUGUUGCUCCGAACGCGACCCUUCUGCGCAUCCACCAACAAAGCCGCAGCACUGUCCAGCGGACUGACCCCCAAUCCAUCUUGCUGCUGUUUCCUUGCCAGAAUAGGUGAGCUGUUUUGGGAGGACGGCGAGUUUCUCGAGAAUUUGUGCUUUUUCAUCACCUACGGUUAUUAAUGGUGAGUCAGAGG